ensembl:lncRNA
GUGAGGAUCAGGUGAUGUUGGCUCCUUGUGGGAAUGCAGUGUCAUUGCUGCAUCAAUUCUCUAGAGGACCUCGAUGUAGGACCUGACUUUUGAGAAACUCAGUUUACAGCAUAAUCUGCUGUGGUUGCUGUGUCAACUUUCCAGAGUGAUACCCCUCAUCUGCAGCAGGACACAUGAAGAACUCCUGCGCUUAAUCUCAGAACUGGGGAUCAGGUAGUGGUUCUCAGGAUGAAAGGGUGCCUGGGGGUCUUCUGCUCUGACCCCGCUGAGAAAGUGGCGGUGUAGCACAAGUUUUGGAGUUCUCUUACCUGAGCUGCCUCUGGCUAUAUUUGAGAGCUGGCAUUUCCCCCCUCCACCGCCUCCAUCAGAGGUGUUGCCAGUGUUUUUGUUAUCUCUGCUUGUGCCUCCAGGGUUGCUGGUGCCUUUGCUGCUGGUUUUGCUGUGGUCACAUGCAUCACCACCAGGGUCACUGGGAUGGCAGGCACCUCUGCUGUGUCCAAGGUUGCCUGGGUCACUAACACUGCUGCUGUGGUUGAUGCAGGGGAGCCAAGGUCACUGGCACCUUCACUGCACCCAAGGUUGUCAGGUUCCCAGUCUACCCGCCUUCAGAUGUACAGAUGUGUGGAUCCCUCCAGUGUCCUGGUGUGCUGAGCAGAGGAAACUUUGUUGAGUUAUGAAUAUCCUACCUAGUUGUAGAUUGAAGGAAAGAAACAAAAGGAGAAUCUCAUGCCACCAUGAUGCUGAUGUCACUCCUUGAUCUGUCUAUUCUUUUACCAAUAUUACUGCUUUCAUCAUUUUGGGUCUAUGAUUAAUAAAUUAUUUCAUCCCAUAAUCAUUGAGUACCUGGUGUGUGUCUGAAACUGUGUUUGGCAUGAGGAUACAGCAGUUUAUCAGGUGGACAUAGUUCCUGCCCUCACAUUCAUUGUUUCUAGUGCAGGAAACAGGAAAUAAUCAAUGUGUACAACCUAGUGAGCCAUGGGCACUGAGAAAAGAGGCACAAGGUGUUAGGGGAACAUAUGGUAAGGGUCUAUUCCACACUAGGAGUCAAUGAGGAUUCCUGGAUGAGUGAUAUCUAAGUUUAGUCCUGAGGUUCAUGGUAGGCAGGCAAACAGACGAGAGAGAAGUUGAAGAUGGAUGGAACAACAACCUGACAAUCUGAGAGUCAAUAGAGAGCCUGGUGCAUUUGAGAAGCUGAAAACAAUUCUGCAUGGCUGGAGCAGAGUACAGAGGGUUGGUUCCGGACAGGGGAGCCAAACUAUGUUAAGGAUCAUUGCCUUUACCCUGAAGACCAUGGGGAAUCAUUGAAAAGGUUUAAAUAAGAGAGUGACUUGACCAGAUUCACAUUUAAGGAAGAUCUGUCUGGCUGCAACAUAGAGGAUCAAUUGGAGUGGAGUAAAAAAUUUUGUCAGGGACAUUCGUUGUUCUAAUAAAUCAAAGGAAAAGAAAAUUGAUGCUGGCCUGAACUAGGGUAGUGGUACCAGGAAUGGAGAGAAUAUAGUGGAUCUGACAAAGUAUAAUUUGGUAUAUUUGGAAGAUAUUUAGGAGGUAAAAUUGGCAGAAAUUGGUGAUUGAUUGGAUGCUGAAUAUAAGGGAGAGGGAGGAAUGAGAGCUGAUAGCACAGGACGGUUGGGUACAUGUUGGUUCCAUUCACUGAGAGGGAAUGCAGGAAAGGUGAAUAUGAGAUGAGAAGAUGCUAAUUUUUGUGUAUGUUAAGUUUGAGAUGUAUGUGGUACACCCAGAACUACACGUCCAACAGGCUAUUGAAGUCUGAAUGAGAGUAAGACCAUCUGGAGCACAAAUUUGGUUGUCUUCAGUAUUUGAAGGAUGGACUAAGCUAUAAGGGUGGAUGUGAUCUCCCAGGCAGGAUUUAUAGAGUGAAAAUAGCAGAAGGGAAAAACAGAAAAGAGUGAUAGCUAAAGGUAUAAAGAUCAAUGUAAUUCAGACUUUCUAUCCAGGAAUAUUUUAUGA